rnacentral:lncRNA from 1 species
CAGAGGUCACUUCCGGUUGAAAAAAAAUCAUCAUGGUCGAUUCUACUGAAAGAGGAAUAGAAUAAGAAAUUACGUUUCUUCUACACAAAACAAGUUCAUUCAUAAUUGCUUAAGUUCAAAAACUGAUAUUUUGUUUCCUCAGAUUUUAACUCCACUUUUGCAAUAUACCCCGCUACUCUGAGUCAGUAACUGAAAACACUGUGUAGAACCCAUUAUUGCAUAUAUUUAAUAAACCGCCAUCAUUGGUUCAGUCGUCACUGUGUAAUCAGGAACUACGAAGUCGACUGCGAUAUUUUCCUACAGACAUAGUUGAAAGUAUUUCUUACGACUGUACCUGUUAUAAGUAGUAAAUACUAUUUGUGAAAAUUGAGGAUUUGAUGGAAACAACGGUGUGCUUAAGAUAUCAAAUGCUAGCAGAUGGUAAAGAAGGGGGCUGAAACGAUGACGUAAACACACAAAUAAAUGACGUAAAACGUAUUUAUGUGAUUAAUUGGAGGAAAUUACAACAAAGAGCGAAGUCGUGUCGAAAUUCUCCUCUCCAUGACGAGGUAAGGCAACUUUUACACCUCUGCUAGGUUUGGGAUCAUCCCAAGAACAUUUCCCUACACCUGUACGAUCUAAUUGAGAUCAGAUUGUAAACCUUAUACUUAUAAAUUUGCUAUUUAAUAACAACAGGUGAAGUGGAAGAAGCUAUAUGGUUACAGAUGUUUAUGUCAGGUUUGUUGUUGCUGUUAAAAAAUAAACAUGAGUAGAUUUUGUUUACUUUUGGAUGCGUGUUGCAUAUUUGUGUUUUUUUUUUUAUUUAUCGCAUCGUUAAACAAAUAACUGCAGUUUCACAUAUUAAUUGGUGAAACCAAUUGGAAACAUAAUCCUUAUUUGUGAAGAUUUGUCAUCAUCUGAUGAGAAAUAAACUGGUUUGACAGGGAGUAUCGGGAAGGAGACCUUAGUGAUGUGUAACGGGCUAAUUUCUUUUCUUUCUUUAUUUCAUUCGUGUCAUUCUCUUAUUUUGUAGAUAUAUUUGGAAACAGUUUACUUCGAUAUUCUUUCCCACCAUCAAACCCGUAUUUUUUUUUUUGUAAUUCUUUUUUUUUUUCUCUCUCUCUCUCUGAUUGAGGUUAAAAAAUUGGCAUAACUACAGAUGUAUACCUCACUCCCGACUUCGUUGCCUGGCGGAGGUAAAGGACAUGGACCGCACCCCAUUUCGGAUAUUUUUUUUUUUUUUUUGACUGCGGAGAUUCCGAAUCUGCAAAAAAUCCAAAAAAAAUCGGCAUUUCAAAAUUUUAAUUCCCUACUCCUACCCCAAAUUUUUCACCUUUUUAGAAAUUUGUUUUGGCGAAAUACGUAGAAAAAUACGGAGAUUAUCAUUCUGUGAAAAAGAAAAUUUUGUAAAAUUUAAAUUUUUCAAAAAUAAAUAAAUAAAUAUACACCCCUAACACUCCGUCAGCGCAUCUGUAACAGAAAGUGAACAUGUUGUGGUUGAGGGUUUUUGAAAUGAAGAAAGGUAUGCAAAAGUUUUGCACACACACACGACAACAAAAUUUUUAAAAAAUUUUUCUGUUUUUGGUAAUUCGUAUUUAGAAAGUGGAUCUUCGGUUUGGCUGUUGUUUCAAGCUUGUCGGACUUUACGGUUGAAAACCCCCAAAACAAAGUUCUAUAUUUAAGAGAUGAGGAAUUAUGUACAUUAUUUACAUUAGACGGAUAUUUGUCCUCAUGUUGUUUAUUGUUAGCACAACGUUUCGGCAUCAGGUGUCUUGGGGAAAUUUCGAACCUGGGUUCUCAUUCUUACGGUAUUUUUCGAUUUUAUUAUUAUUAUUAUUAUUAUUAUUAUUAUUGAGUGAGAGAGCAGUUCAUGCCAUCAAAGUGACACUGGGGUAAAAUAUACGAAGCCCAAUAUACCCAUCAUGACUACCCGUCUGAUAAGGGUACACCAGGCACAUGCAUCGCAACCAUAUGUGCGCGACAUGGUGAUCUCAUAUCAAGAUAAACAGCACAUGACCUUGCAGGUGGGGCCCAGUUAGAAUUUUCUUCAGAUUGAGUAGCCCAUCCCGCUCAAAAGGUCCCUGAAUAAGGGUUGUCUAAGGAUGUUGGAAGAACCACCCAUGUUUCCAGAGGUGAAUUAUUCAAACCCCAAAGAAUCCCUCUCAACACAUGGCUAUGAUGCUCCCCCACUACUUCUGCUCGUGAUCAGAGAUGCACAUAUCAUCAGCCACUAAGGGACAUGCUCAACUGGUUACGGUCAAACAACUGACAAGCAAAUCUGUGGUAUUGAGCAGAAUAUUUGCUGUAGCCCAUCUUUUAUACCAAGACAAAACAAUGUACAUGAUAACACUUCCAAUCAGUUAAGAUCAGAAGCCAUGAGAGCCACUGCCUGGUACUGCAUCAGGGCGUUUAUUAUUAUUAUUUUUAUUAUUAUUCAGGUCACUGCUUGGAAUGGAACUCGGAAUCUUGGGGUUAAUAGCCCAUGCUCUUGACCACUACGCCAAAUGCCUGUGGGCAUAUGGCGUAGUGGUUAAGAGCGUGGGCUACUAACCCCAAGAUUCCAUGUUCAAUUCCAAGUAGUGAUCUGAACAACAACAACAAUAAUAAUAAUAAUAACAUCAAAAAAUACCUUAGGAAUGAGAACAUAGGUUCGAAAUUUCCCCAAGACACCUGAUGAAGGCUGGAGGGUAUAUCAGCCAAAAUGUUGUGUUAACAACAAAAAGAUGAGGACAAAUACCCGUCAAAUGUAAAUAACAACCAAAACACGUUUUCGGAGGUGGGGUAGGCAAUCAAAAUUUAGAAAUGCUGAUUUUUUUUUUUUUUGCAGAUUCGGAACCUCUGCAGUUGAAAAGGUGGGUUUCUGUUGAAAGAACAAAAAGAAUAAUAACCGAAAGGGGGUGCAGUCCAUGUUCUUUACGGAGGCCAAUUGAGUGUAUAUAAAGAUUUGUUGGAAAAACGUUUACCGAGGGAGUUGAGGAGGGAAGUUUUGGAAAAUUCACAAAACCCAAAACUUCCCCCCUCAUAACUUUCAGGAAAAUGGGUAUUUUGUAAUGAAAUUUUAUACAAAUGCCUUUCAAACGAUGUAGAUUACAAUUACAAAGAAAUUUGUAGGCAAAAUCUUUUGCACAGGGCGAGUUUCUGGAAAACAGUUUUGGAUCAGAUGGCUCACAUAAGUUGGAAUUUUUCUGUUUUGACGAGAAUUUUUCCAAUUUAUUCUUCAGUACAGUCUUAGGAAUGAUGGGAGGCAUCUUUUUAUGGCAAAACGAAAAAAAUUUUGAAAAUUUAUGAUUUUUUUCACUCCUACCAUCCCUUCACCACCCCAGUCUGAACCGAUUUUGGCCCAUUGUUUUUGUUUUUCACUAUGUAUUUAAAGCCCGUGAGAGAAACGUUUUCGGUUAAAAAAAAAAAAGGUUAAUAAUUUUGGAGGAAAAUGUGUGAUUUAAGGGAGAUCUAGCUGUUGUUUCUAGCACAUCCCAAAACCUCUCUCCUCCUUUCUUUCUCACUCUCACAUCUAUUGAUGUUUUUCAAAUAUUUCUCCCCAUAAACAUAUUUUAUGGAAUGAUGAUGCCAAAAUAACUCAUGCAUAGUCCAUUGCUGGGAUAUAAGCAAACGGAAAGAAAAAAUGGUAAUUUAAAUUUUUACUUGCACUCCAAUAAAGCGAGGCUGUGUGUGUGUAAGAAAAAAACAUGUUCUAACAGAAAAUUAUGCUAUCAAAAUAAAUCAUCUUUUACAUACCUCGCAUUAAAAUCACUCUGGAUAAAUCCCAGCAAUAAUCUUCUCAGGCUUUCCAAAAUUUUAGAAUUAUAUAAACAGAAACAAUCGGGAGCAGGGAGUGGGGCUAAAAAAAAUCAUAGGUUUAAAAAUUUUUCUCUUUUUUAUAGCAUAACUGUGUUUAUUGGGGAAAAUAUUGAAAAAUGUCAAUACAUAUUUAAGUGAGAAAAAACAGGGAGGGUGGUUUUGCGAUGUGCUAGAAACAACAGCCAAAUCUCCCUUAAAUCAAACACUUUUUCCUCUAAAAAGGUAAACAGUUUUUUUUAACCAGAAAGGUUUCUCCUGUGUUUUUUAAGAGCAUAGUGAAAAAAAACAACAAAAAUGGGCCAAAAUCGGUCUGGACUGGAGUGGUUGGGUGGUGGCAGGAGUAAAAGAAAAUCUUAAGUUUUUUUACAAAAAAUGCUUCCCGUCAUUAUUAAGACUGUGAUGAAAAAGAAAAAUUGGAAAAUAUCACCGUCAAAACAGAAAUUCCAACUUAUGUGGGCCAUCUAAUCCAAAACACCAUUUUCUAGAAACUUCUCCGCCCUAUCGCCGUCAAAACAGAAAUUUCAACUUAUGUGGCCAUCUGAUCCAAAACACCAUUUUCCAGAAACUUCUCCACCCUACACAAAAAAGUUUGCCGACAAAUUUCUUUGUAAUCAUAAUCUACACCAAAGGUUCUCAACCCAUUGUGGCCAAAGGUCCCCUUUUGACCCUUGGAGUCACAAAUGCCCCCCACCCUAGAAAAUAUUUUUAUUUUUCAAUAUACUACUUAUUUUGAUAUCAGGAGGUUAUUAAAAAAUAAAGGAUGUCAUUUUACAUAUGCACUUGUAUGCAUUCAGGAGUACAUAGGUACAAAUUGAAAUGCCAAACAAUGAAAUAGUGAAUUGAAAGUUUGGUAAUUGUGUUUAUUUACACCAUAUGACACUUACGUGAUCAAUGUGAUACAAAUAAAUUGUGGAGUAUGGUAUUCACAGUACUUGGAUCUAGUUAGUUUGAGUCACAAAAUCAGCUCACUUUUAAAAUGACUUUAAAGAAAUCUGAAAAUUUGCUAUAUUAAACAUUCCUUUCUUAAUCAGGAUCUAGUUUGUUUCAUUCACAAAAUC